GGAGGGGAAGAAAGCACUGAACUUCAGGAAGAGAUGAGGAGGCUAACAUUGAAGAACUUGGGGUGGGCAUGGGCAGAGAAGGCAGGAAACAAAUACUGUGCCAAGGUUUAUUUACUAGAACUGAACAGUAAGAAGUACAAUUCCUUACCAAGAGAUUUGCAAUAUGCAAGACACUCCAUUCACCUGGAGUCUGGAGUCUGAGCAAUGCAACUGUGCUUUUACUUCUAGAAGCCGCAGCUUCAUUCUGACUGGUACCGGACAGUUUUUGCAGACCAGGCAAAUAGUAGUUCAUCCUUCUUCUACCUGGUAGAGAGUGGUCACUGGAGAGACGAAAGUACAACAGGAGCCUUUCAAGAUCUAUGUCUGAAGUUUUGCUGAGUCUCUAAAAUCACCCCGUGCCUUGGAGAGAGGACUCAGCUUGGAAUGUGUAGCUGGCCUCAGAGCCUCAGUGGAGAUCACUUUGGGUGAGAUCCUGGCUCACUCUCCCGCUCUCUUCUUGUAACUAUCAGGGGUGGACCAAUCCCCAGCUAAAUGCUUUCCAUAGGAUUCAAACAGGAUGAGCACUGCCCUGGUGACAAGAAGAAUGCUAACACCGAUGGCGGCAGGCAAGAGGAAGGUUCAGUUCUUGUAGUUAGUAGAUUGAACACGUAAAUAAUCUUUU
rnacentral:lncRNA from 1 species